rnacentral:rRNA from 1 species
UGGGGAAUAUUGCACAAUGGGCGCAAGCCUGAUGCAGCCAUGCCGCGUGUGUGAAGAAGGCCUUCGGGUUGUAAAGCACUUUCAGCGGGGAGGAAGGCGUUAAGGUUAAUAACCUUGGCGAUUGACGUUACCCGCAGAAGAAGCACCGGCUAACUCCGUGCCAGCAGCCGCGGUAAUACGGAGGGUGCAAGCGUUAAUCGGAAUUACUGGGCGUAAAGCGCACGCAGGCGGUCUGUCAAGUCGGAUGUGAAAUCCCCGGGCUCAACCUGGGAACUGCAUUCGAAACUGGCAGGCUAGAGUCUUGUAGAGGGGGGUAGAAUUCCAGGUGUGGCGGUGAAAUGCGUAGAGAUCUGGAGGAGUACCGGUGGCGAAGGCGGCCCCCUGGACAAAGACUGACGCUCAGGUGCGAAAGCGUGGGGAGCAAACAGG